rnacentral:rRNA from 1 species
AGCGAACGCUGGCGGUAGGCUUAACACAUGCAAGUCGAACGGCAGCACAGUAAGAGCUUGCUCUUACGGGUGGCGAGUGGCGGACGGGUGAGGCAUACAUCGGAAUCUACUUUUUCGUGGGGGAUAACGUAGGGAAACUUACGCUAAUACCGCAUACGACCUACGGGUGAAAGCAGGGGAUCUUCGGACCUUGCGCGAUUGUAUGAGCCGAUGUCGGAUUAGCUAGUUGGCGGGGUAAAGGCCCACCAAGGCGACGAUCCGUAGCUGGUCUGAGGGGAGGUUCAGCCACACUGGAACUGAGACACGGUCCAGACUCCUACGGGAGGCAGCAGAGGGGAAUAUUGGACAAAGGGCGCAAGCCUGAUCCAGCCAUACCGCGUGGGUGAAGAAGGCCUUCGGGUUGUAAAGCCCUUUUGUUGGGAAAGAAAAGCAGCAGGUUAAGACCCCGCUGUUCUGACGGUACCCAAAGAAUAAGCACCGGCUAACUACGUG